rnacentral:rRNA from 1 species
GACGAACGCUGGCGGCGUGCUUAACACAUGCAAGUCGAACGGAAAGGCCCUGCUUUUGUGGGGUGCUCGAGUGGCGAACGGGUGAGUAACACGUGAGUAACCUGCCCUUGACUUUGGGAUAACUUCAGGAAACUGGGGCUAAUACCGGAUAGGAGCUCCUGCUGCAUGGUGGGGGUUGGAAAGUUUCGGCGGUUGGGGAUGGACUCGCGGCUUAUCAGCUUGUUGGUGGGGUAGUGGCUUACCAAGGCUUUGACGGGUAGCCGGCCUGAGAGGGUGACCGGGCUCAAGGUGAGAAGCCGGACAGUGGGUGCGCGUGGGGCACACGCGCCUGCUACGGGAGGCGGGGGGGGGAUCGACUGCACGCGGGCCGGGAGCCUGAGGCGGGUCCGGCGCGGGGGGGGUGGCGGCGUGGGGCUUGUGAGCCUCUCGUGCGUGGGCAGUGGGUUGAGUGCGGGUGGUGGGUAACAAAGCACGGGACAACGACGAGCCGGCGGCCGCGGUAAGACGCGGAGUUACCCACUUCGGCAC